GAUGAACGCUGGCGGCGUGCUUAACACAUGCAAGUCGAGCGAUGAAGUUUCCUUCGGGAAACGGAUUAGCGGCGGACGGGUGAGUAACACGUGGGUAACCUGCCUCAUAGAGUGGAAUAGCCUUUCGAAAGGAAGAUUAAUACCGCAUAACAUCGAGAGAUGUCAUCAUCACUCAAUCAAAGGAGCAAUCCGCUAUGAGAUGGACCCGCGGCGCAUUAGCUAGUUGGUAAGGUAACGGCUUACCAAGGCGACGAUGCGUAGCCGACCUGAGAGGGUGAUCGGCCACAUUGGGACUGAGACACGGCCCAGACUCCUACGGGAGGCAGCAGUGGGGAAUAUUGCACAAUGGGGGAAACCCUGAUGCAGCAACGCCGCGUGAGUGAUGAAGGUUUUCGGAUCGUAAAGCUCUGUCUUUGGGGAAGAUAAUGACGGUACCCAAGGAGGAAGCCACGGCUAACUACGUGCCAGCCGCCGCAGUA
rnacentral:rRNA from 1 species